rnacentral:lncRNA from 1 species
AUAAUGUGAUAUUUUUCUUAAUGUGAUAUUAAUUUGAAUAUGAGAUACAAAAUCUAAUAAGGAUAAGGAUUAAUUUAAUUGUAUCAAGAGCAAGUAAGGAAUAAAACUAAAAAAAUUGGCAUAUAGUAAGGGAGAGUAGAUUUUGUAUAAAAAUUGAACUCAAUUGAUUAUGAUAUUAAGAGAGACUUUAAUAUUUUUAGAUUAUUAAAGAAAAUUUUUUUCCUAUUGAUCUUAUUAAUUAUUUCAUUUAAGUUAUUUUUUUGAUGAUGUUAAAAAGGGGGAG